rnacentral:lncRNA from 1 species
AGUAGCUCGGAGAGCAGUAGUACUUCAGACACCACGCCCGCAACAUCCCUCCAGUCUCCACGCCACCACCGACCCCUCGAGUCUACGCAGCCCAGUGGCCGUGUGUAUAUUGGUGUUGGGCGUGACGUGCAGUAACGGCGGUAAUAGCAACGGGAAGCUUGAUCUACAGCACAGCACAGCAGAGCGGAGAGAUUGGUGGUGAGUUGACGAUCCAAAGGCCUGACUCCACAGCGGUAAUGAGCUUUGUGUACCUUGCACUGUCUUCACUGACAACGCCCACUACUAACCACUCUGCCUCCGCCACCGUUUCAAGAUCAGGGAAGGACUCUGCCUUGCAUCGCGCACUGUGAUGGUCGCCGCCGCCGCUGCUGCUGCUGCUGCUAAGGGAGAAUGGAGUUGGUGAUUCAAAGGACGUGACUGCAGCGAUCCCGUGUGUCCUGCACCAUCAAAGGAGGACUCCGGCUUCCCACGGCGCGUUCACUGACUCUCUCCCCGUCACCCUACCAACUCCGGCCACCCACCCACCGGCCAUCUGCUACACCACCACUAUCGCCGGCUCCGUCCAGUGAAAGAUUCAUCGCAGACCUCCUGCCAUUCAACGCCUGCCGCCGCCACCACCACCACCACCACCACCUCCUUAUGGUGGUGUCACUGUACCUGGAGCUGUCAUGAUUGAAUAAUAAAUUGUGAAGAAAU